CAAUUUAACGCAUUAUGUAUUUCAGAGAUAAUUUGAGAGUGCUCCAGCGCAGACUUCGCGACGACCAAAAUCCCUUUGAGAUUACAACAGACGAGCAUUUCAUUGAUUUAUAUCGGUUCCCUAAAGCUUUGUGCCUGGAAUUAAUUAAUGAAUUAAUGCCAUUUAUGCCGAACUCGCAACGGAGACAUGCUGUUCCGAGUCAUGUAAUUAUUUUAAGCGCCCUGCGUUUUUUGCCACUGGUUACUUUCAAAGAAGUGUGGGGCAAGACAGUUUAUCUGCUUUAUCCCAAACAUCAGUUAGCAGAUGUGUGCAAGUGGUGGCAACUGCACUUAAUAACAUAGCCCACAGACAUAUAAAGUUCCCAAAACGCGAAGACUUCCCGGCGCUCAAAAUAAAAUUCAUGGAAAAAUACCAAUUUCCUGGAAUAAUCGGACUCAUAGACGGAACGCACAUCAAAAUAUCAGCCCCGAAGAAAGAAAUUGAGCAUGUUUACUAUUGCCGAAAGGCGCUCGGUUCGGAGGUACUGCUCAUGACUCAUAUGUAUGGCGUCGCUCUCGAGCUUGCAGAGCUCUGGAGGAGCUUUAUGAGGCGGGUGAGCGCGAUUUUUGGCUUCUGGGUGAUAGUGGCUACCCACUACAGCCUUGGCUGAUGACACCAAUUAGUGCGACAUCAUGUACCGCAGAAGAGCGCUACAAUAUAGCACACAAGUCAACUCGAGCUCUUGUAGAAAGAUGCAUUGGCUUACUAAAAAGCAGAUUUCGGUGUCUGUCGAAGGAAAGAGCCCUUUUCUACAGUCCACCAAAAGCAGGCCUCAUAAUCAACGCUUGCCUGGUUUUACACAACUACUUGAUUCGGGCUAGAGUGCCGUUCGAUGAAAUUUAUUUGGAAGACUCUGAUGAACCUGAAGAAUGUGGUGGCCCUUAUUCAGCUAUUUCAACACAGAAUAUAUUAUCCAUUGCGAAAAGACAACGAUUGCAAAUUGUUCAAAAUGCUUUUACUAAUAACAUUCAAAAUUAGA